rnacentral:sRNA from 1 species
ACCGGUUUGAAAUACAGAACCUGACGUCGUUUUUUUAGCAGUACUCAGUUCAAGUGUUAUCCCCCCGAUAUCCCUUUAUCAGUGAGUCUUCUUUCUAAGCUUCUCAUUAAAAUCUGUAAAGCAGACCUCAUCAACCAGUAAUGGUAAUAAAAUAAAGGAAAUAUUUAUGUCUAAUAAAAUGACUGGCUUAGUAAAAUGGUUCAAUGCGGAUAAAGGCUUUGGCUUCAUCACGCCGGAUAACGGCGGCAGCGAUAUCUUUGUUCAUUUUUCCGCGAUUCAAAGCAAUGGCUACAAAUCCCUGGAUGAAGGCCAGAAGGUUGCAUUCGAGGUACAAACCGGUGCUGCUAAAGGGCCGUCAGCCAUUAAUGUAACCCCGCUGUAAAACCAGACUUGGAUUAACCAUCCGCAAUAGCGAUGACG